AUGUCUGCAUCCUCCAUCGUCGCGGACACAACGGAAGGGUACCACAUCCUCACGAUCCGCGACUACUCCCGCACCAAGGGCGUCCCCACCGGAGAGCGGAUCGGCUCUGUUCCCUUCACAGUUGGUGGCCACCGCUGGCGCAUCUACUACUUCCCCAACGGUAUACGCCCGGAGGUCGCGGAUUACGUGUUCUUCUCCCUCGAGCUAGACGAAGAUGCCCCUGCUGCGGUGAAGGCCCAGGUAAAAUUUUGUUUCGCCGGCGAGGAGGAGGAGGAGGCUGAGCAGGCGGGGUCGCUGGCGUUGGCAUCGGUGGAAGGCAUGGAGGUGGAGGUGUUCAAGGCGCUGCUCGACUUCGCGUACACGGGCCGUCUGCCGCAACCGUCCAAGGAAGACGCCGAGGUCACGUGUCAGCGUCUUCUAGUCGCGGCAGACAGGUAUGGCAUCGUGCAGCUGAAGCUAUUGUGCGAGGAGUGGAUGUGCAAGUACAUAGAUGUGGGCACUGCCGCGACCAUCCUGGCGCUAGCCGAGCAAAAUCACUGCGAGGGGCUCAAAAAGGCAUGCUUCGAUUUUCUCGCCACUCAGGAAACUGAGGGUGGUCAUGGCCACCUGUUAGAGGAAUAG
rnacentral:rRNA from 1 species